rnacentral:rRNA from 1 species
AUACGUAGGUGGCAAGCGUUGUCCGGAUUUAUUGGGUUUAAAGGGUGCGCAGGCGGCCAUUUAAGUCAGCGGUUAAAUCGUGGGGCUCAACCCCAUUCUGCCGUUGAUACUGGGUGGCUUGAUUGCGGUCGAGGUUGGCGGAAUUCGUUGUGUAGCGGUGAAAUGCAUAGAUAUGACGAAGAACACCGAUUGCGUAGGCAGCUGACCAGACCGCAAAUGACGCUCAUGCACGAAAGUGCGGGGAUCGAACAGGAUUAGAUACCCUGGUAGUCCGCACAGUAAACGAUGAAUACUUGUUUUCGGCGAUAUAAUGUCGGAGGCAAAGCGAAAGCGAUAAGUAUUCCACCUGGGGAGUACGCCGGCAACGGUGAAACUCAAAUGAAUUGACGGGG